GGGUGGAAUCAUCUGGAUUUUUCUGAAUGUUUUAAAGAAUUGCUGAGAGGUAGGAAACAGCCAAGUAUGAAAUACUGAUCUUAGAGCUACAGCCCAGGAUCAAUCAGAAAGUUAUAUGCAAAAGUUCGGGGUCCCAACAAGGAGAGAACAUGUCAGCCAUUUGCAUGGGGUCGAUGAAUGAGAAACAUGAGCUUAGCAAGAGUUACAUUUUGCAGAAAAAUAGCAGAGUCACACCCAGAGUAGAACAGCAGCCAGCAAGCUGCCAUCCUGAUCGAUUUGUGGUGCAAGGUUAGGGAGUAUGGGCACCACAUGAGUCCAUGCUAGGGAGAUAUGCACCAGGCUUAUCUAAGAAACUUAAAGCAGUAUUUUACCAACACUUGUCUUAGGGAGCAUAAAGUUUGGAUGUCCCUUUAUUUCAGCAGUGUGAAGGUAAAGGGUGAGGGUUUGACUUGAUCCUGAUUGGUCAAGAAUCCUGCUGGAUAAAGAAAAGGAAUUUUAGAAGUGACCAGAGGGACAGUCCAGCCAAACUAUUAUUUGAUAAGGAACCUAAGGCCCCUUAGUUUCAUGGCUAACUGAGAGCAGAUUAGGAGCCAACGUUGUUUGCACAUGUCCCAUCACACCUGGGGUGUCAGACAUGGGAAGUUCGUGCUUUUAUUCAGCUGCCUCCCUGGACCAUGGCAAGAUUUCCUCAUCCAUCAAACAGACUCCAGGCCCUGACUAAUCAGUUGGAUUUGGCUUGUGUGAUGAAAACAAUUAGCCGUCCACGUACAACAUUAUGCUUACUGCAUCCCAGGGAAACUUAAUUCCCUCCUGGCACAUAUUUGCAUACUGAAAGGCCCGAAAAGGGCAUCCGUGGCAGCUUGAGCCCCUUAGCACCAUGUAAGGAGCACAGCAUCCAAACGGCUUCUUGAGAACCAUUUGGGAAUGUCUUCUUUUUCACAUCCAAUUGUUUAGUGUCUAUUUAUUCUUGCAUGACCUGUUUUGAAAUCUAAAAAGGGACAAUAAAGCAAAAAGUAUCAGUAAGGUUAGGUGGCUGAGACCCACUGCCCUGAGCUACUAGUGUGGCUGUGCCCAUGGGUCUCUGGAACCAUCUGCAUUGGACCUGAAGCCACAGCAGGUGGCUGGACUGCUGCCCUGUUCCUAAUGAGCUACGCUGGGCUUUCAGGUAGGGGCUGGGGUUGACAAACCCCAGCUCUGGCUUAAAGAUCUUGCUGUGGCUCUGUUAUGUUCUGAGGCCUUGGGAUCAGCCUCUUCCUCAUUAUGGAGCUGAUUUUCUAGUCUGUGGAUCAGCUAUGCCUUUGGACACUUCUCUUUUUCAUUGUGCCUUUUGAAUGUUGGCUUCUCACUCAGCAUCAACCAUUUCCAUAUAAAUGCAGACUAGGGAGUUGGGAGAAGGAACCAAAGUGCAGCACCCUGCAUUUAUUCAGUCAUUUGUUCAUCUGUCAAACACGUAUUUGGACAUCAAGGUUGCAGAGAUCAACAAUGCAUGGAUUCCAUCUUUGAGGAGUUCAAAGCCUAGUGGAGAGAACACAUAAUACAGUUGUACUUGUAACAAGUAAGUGCUGCAGUAAAGGUACUAAUAGCAUGUUCCUUGGAACAGAGGAAGAGAAACCACAAAACCAUGGAAAUUAGGGAAGCCUUUAUAGAGGGUGUGACAAAACUCAAUUUGACAUUUUCAAGCUAUGUACAAUGCUGUGCACCUUGCAGAUGCUCAAUAAAGUAAUUAUUGACAA
ensembl:lncRNA